UAUAUGUAUUUUGUUGUUGCCGCUGCAGAGAAACAAUUAUUUUUUGGGCAAGGAAGAGUGGUGUCUGCCGCUGGAAUUUGGGAAAGUGAGGACCUCGGCUUGAUUCCGAGCCGAGUGGCUGAGUCAAGGCAGUGUGUGCGAAGACUUGGCCGGAGGGUGAACGCAACGCGAAGUCUGGGCGGGACUGCAGUAGCGACGGAAGGCUGAGCGCGGGAGGAGUUUGGGCUCCCUGGUCCAAGCGCUGCUUUAGGCGCCCAAGUGUGUGUGCGUUCAUGGGUGAGUGAGUGCCUGUGCCGAGGAGCCACGCCGACAGCACCCAAGCGCACAUCGACCUCCCGAGUUCGGUCGGCAUCGCAAGAGGCCGCAUCAACCCCAUCACCCACCGGACUCAGGUCAACCCCCUGGAACACGAGGCAGGCCUUCAGGGCUGCAACAGCCGGCUCCUGCUCCAGAGGAAAAUGAUGAAGCGGAGGAAGCGCGUAAUCAAAAGGUGCAGACUGUUUGGACAAGCAGCGAUUUCGAGCCCCCUGACACAACAUUGGAUGACAACCACAUGACUUUAGAGGAGGUGGCUGAGCCAUGGGAAUACUUUCGAAGGUCUGACUAAAUAUCACAGUAUGGGAACAGACCAAUCACGAAUCAAGGCGUUGUAUGCCAGUCAUGAGUCUGUUCUCCGUUGACAACAUGGCAGCUCCUCCAGUGGCUCCUUGCUCAGAAGCACUCAUCAUCGAAAUUGAGCGGUGUCCAUGGCUAUGGAACGCAAGCCGUAUGGACUACAGGGACACUGGGAAGCGCAAAAAUUCCUGGAAGGC